rnacentral:rRNA from 1 species
GACGAACCGUGCGAACGUUGUUCGGAUUCACUGGGCUUAAAGGGCGCGUAGGCGGGCUCGCCAGUCAGGGGUGAAAUCCUCCGGCUUAACCGGAGAACAGCCCUUGAUACUGCGAGCCUCGAGGAAGGUAGGGGCAUGUGGAACUUCCGGUGGAGCGGUGAAAUGCGUAGAUAUCGGAAGGAACGCCGGUGGCGAAAGCGACGUGCUGGACCUUUACUGACGCUGAGGCGCGAAAGCCAGGGGAGCAAACGGG